GACGAGACAUGGUCUGUUCUUCUUCUUUCCAAAAAUCAAUUUAAAUGUUGGUAUAAAUAAAUGUUCAGAUAUAAAUUUUCAAAUACAAUUAAAGUGUUCAGCAUCAUGUCGGCAUAUAUUAGGAUCCAUCAGGAACAGUCGGUCAACUUCACAAGUAAAAAUAUCCAAAAUCCAUUGAAAAACAAAAUCCAAAAUAUGUAUAAAUCAUUAUUCACGAUCGUUUAGGGUCCCCACCAUAUUACAGACUAGGGGAAUAGCUCUGGUAGCAUGGAUGGAGGCGAUGACAUACAGACACAUAAAAACACAUCAGCUUCCAGUUCUACAUUUUAAUCAGACAAAGAAUGACGUCACAAACAUCAAUACAAAAUACUGGCAAAAGGGGAACAACUCUCUCUUACAAACAGAAACAUAAUCUGAC
rnacentral:lncRNA from 1 species